rnacentral:misc_RNA from 1 species
AUCACUUUUUAGUAAAGUUGCACUGGACAAAGCAUACCACAAUUGGUGUACUGGUAACCGACACAGCAUUUGUGUCUAUUUUUCAUGUAAAGGUAAUUUUGAUGUCUAAGAUUAAAGGUAACGUUAAGUGGUUUAAUGAGUCCAAAGGAUUCGGUUUCAUUACUCCGGAAGACGGCAGCAAAGACGUGUUCGUACACUUCUCUGCAAUCCAGACUAAUGGUUUUAAAACUCUUGCUGAAGGUCAGCGCGUAGAGUUCGAAAUCACUAACGGUGCCAAAGGCCCUUCUGCUGCAAACGUAAUCGCUCUGUAAGAUACGUCAGCAAGAAUUCAAAACCCGCUUAAUCAGCGGGUUUUUUUU